UCGAGGAAAAGAAACCAACAGGGAUUGCCUUAGUAACGGCGAGUGAAGCGGCAAAAGCUCAAAUUUGAAAUCUGGCACCUUCGGUGUCCGAGUUGUAAUUUGAAGAAGGUAACUUUGGAGUUGGCUCUGUCUAUGUUCCUUGGAACAGGACGUCACAGAGGGUGAGAAUCCCGUGCGAUGAGAUGCCCAAUUCUAUGUAAAGUGCUUUCGAAGAGUCGAGUUGUUUGGGAAUGCAGCUCUAAGUGGGUGGUAAAUUCCAUCUAAAGCUAAAUAUUGGCGAGAGACCGAUAGCGAACAAGUACAGUGAUGGAAAGAUGAAAAGAACUUUGAAAAGAGAGUGAAAAAGUACGUGAAAUUGUUGAAAGGGAAGGGCUUGAGAUCAGACUUGGUAUUUUGCGAUCCUUUCCUUCUUGGUUGGGUUCCUCGCAGCUUACUGGGCCAGCAUCGGUUUGGAUGGUAGGAUAAUGACUAAGGAAUGUGGCUCUACUUCGGUGGAGUGUUAUAGCCUUGGUUGAUACUGCCUGUCUAGACCGAGGACUGCGUCUUUGACUAGUGACUGUUGCAUAU
rnacentral:rRNA from 1 species